UACGGAGGAUCCGGGCGUUAUCCGGAAUUACUGGGUUUAAAGGGUGCGUAGGCGGGGCUUUAAGCCGGCGGUGAAAUGCAGCGGCUCAACCGCUGGAAUGCCGUUGGGACUGGGGCUCUUGGAUACGGUCGGGGCGGGUGGAACUCGUGGUGUAGCGGUGAAAUGCAUAGAUAUCACGAGGAACGCCGGUAGCGAAGGCAGCUCGCCGGGCCGGUAUUGACGCUGAGGCACGAAAGCGUGGGGAUCGAACAGGAUUAGAUACCCUGGUAGUCCACGCCGUAAACGAUGAUGGCUGGGUGUUGGCGAUAGACGGUCAGCGCCUGAGGGAAACCAUUAAGCCAUCCACCUGGGGAGUACGGCCGCAAGGCUGAA
rnacentral:rRNA from 1 species